AAACUCAAAGGAAUUGACGGGGCCGCACAAGCGGUGGAGCAUGUGGUUUAAUUCGAAGCAACGCGAAGAACCUUACCAGGUCUUGACAUCCCCUGACAACCCGAGAGAUCGGGCGUUCCCCUUCGGGGGACAGGGUGACAGGUGGUGCAUGGUUGUCGUCAGCUCGUGUCGUGAGAUGUUGGGUUAAGUCCCGCAACGAGCGCAACCCUCGACCUUAGUUGCCAGCAUUCAGUUGGGCACUCUAAGGUGACUGCCGGCUAAAAGUCGGAGGAAGGUGGGGAUGACGUCAAAUCAUCAUGCCCCUUAUGACCUGGGCUACACACGUGCUACAAUGGUUGGUACAACGAGUUGCGAGUCGGUGACGGCGAGCUAAUCUCUUAAAGCCAAUCUCAGUUCGGAUUGUAGGCUGCAACUCGCCUACAUGAAGUCGGAAUCGCUAGUAAUCGCGGAUCAGCACGCCGCGGUGAAUACGUUCCCGGGCCUU
rnacentral:rRNA from 1 species